rnacentral:rRNA from 1 species
UGAACGCUGGCGGCAGGCCUAACACAUGCAAGUCGAGCGGUAGCACAGAGAGCUUGCUCUCGGGUGACGAGCGGCGGACGGGUGAGUAAUGUCUGGGAAACUGCCUGAUGGAGGGGGAUAACUACUGGAAACGGUAGCUAAUACCGCAUAAUGUCGCAAGACCAAAGUGGGGGACCUUCGGGCCUCAUGCCAUCAGAUGUGCCCAGAUGGGAUUAGCUAGUAGGUGGGGUAACGGCUCACCUAGGCGACGAUCCCUAGCUGGUCUGAGAGGAUGACCAGCCACACUGGAACUGAGACACGGUCCAGACUCCUACGGGAGGCAGCAGUGGGGAAUAUUGCACAAUGGGCGCAAGCCUGAUGCAGCCAUGCCGCGUGUGAAGAAGGCCUUCGGGUUGUAAAGCACUUUCAGCGGGGAGGAAGGCGGUGAGGUUAAUAACCUCAUCGAUUGACGUUACCCGCAGAAGAAGCACCGGCUAACUCCGUGCCAGCAGCCGCGGUAAUACGGAGGGUGCAAGCGUUAAUCGGAAUUACUGGGCGUAAAGCGCACGCAGGCGGUCUGUCAAGUCGGAUGUGAAAUCCCCGGGCUCAACCUGGGAACUGCAUUCGAAACUGGCAGGCUAGAGUCUUGUAGAGGGGGGUAGAAUUCCAGGUGUAGCGGUGAAAUGCGUAGAGAUCUGGAGGAAUACCGGUGGCGAAGGCGGCCCCCUGGACAAAGACUGACGCUCAGGUGCGAAAGCGUGGGGAGCAAACAGGAUUAGAUACCCUGGUAGUCCACGCCGUAAACGAUGUCGAUUUGGAGGUUGUGCCCUUGAGGCGUGGCUUCCGGAGCUAACGCGUUAAAUCGACCGCCUGGGGAGUACGGCCGCAAGGUUAAAACUCAAAUGAAUUGACGGGGGCCCGCACAAGCGGUGGAGCAUGUGGUUUAAUUCGAUGCAACGCGAAGAACCUUACCUGGUCUUGACAUCCACAGAACUUUCCAGAGAUGGAUUGGUGCCUUCGGGAACUGUGAGACAGGUGCUGCAUGGCUGUCGUCAGCUCGUGUUGUGAAAUGUUGGGUUAAGUCCCGCAACGAGCGCAACCCUUAUCCUUUGUUGCCAGCGGUCCGGCCGGGAACUCAAAGGAGACUGCCAGUGAUAAACUGGAGGAAGGUGGGGAUGACGUCAAGUCAUCAUGGCCCUUACGACCAGGGCUACACACGUGCUACAAUGGCAUAUACAAAGAGAAGCGACCUCGCGAGAGCAAGCGGACCUCAUAAAGUAUGUCGUAGUCCGGAUUGGAGUCUGCAACUCGACUCCAUGAAGUCGGAAUCGCUAGUAAUCGUAGAUCAGAAUGCUACGGUGAAUACGUUCCCGGGCCUUGUACACACCGCCCGUCACACCAUGGGAGUGGGUUGCAAAAGAAGUAGGUAGCUUAACCUUCGGGAGGGCGCUUACCACUUUGUGAUUCAUGACUGGGGUGAA